GAAACUUCGUUCCCUCCUGAGUGGAUCCUGAGUACGGCCGGACACGUGAAAUCCGGUCGGAAGCAGGGAGGACCAUCUCCCAAGGCUAAAUACUCCCUAGUGACCGAUAGUGAACCAGUACCGUGAGGGAAAGGUGAAAAGCACCCCGGAAGGGGAGUGAAAGAGAUCCUGAAACCGUGUGCCUACAAGUAGUCAGAGCCCGUUCAUGGGUGAUGGCGUGCCUUUUGUAGAAUGAACCGGCGAGUUACGAUUGCAUGCGAGGUUAAGUUGAAGAGACGGAGCCGCAGCGAAAGCGAGUCUGAAUAGGGCGAAAUAGUAUGUAGUCGUAGACCCGAAACCAGGUGAUCUACCCAUGUCCAGGGUGAAGUCCAGGUAACACUGGAUGGAGGCCCGAACCCACGCACGUUGAAAAGUGCGGGGAUGAGGUGUGGGUAGCGGAGAAAUUCCAAUCGAACUUGGAGAUAGCUGGUUCUCUCCGAAAUAGCUUUAGGGCUAGCCUCACGUAGUUAGAGUCUUGGAGGUAGAGCACUGUUUGGACUAGGGGCCCUCAUCGGGUUACCGAAUUCAGACAAACUCCGAAUGCCAAUGACUUAUCCGUGGGAGUCAGACUGCGAGUGAUAAGAUCCGUAGUCAAAAGGGAAACAGCCCAGACCACCAGCUAAGGUCCCAAAGUAUACGUUAAGUGGAAAAGGAUGUGGAGUUGCUUAGACAACCAGGAUGUUGGCUUAGAAGCAGCCACCAUUUAAAGAGUGCGUAAUAGCUCACUGGUCGAGUGACUCUGCGCCGAAAAUGUACCGGGGCUAAACGUAUCACCGAAGCUGUGGGUGGACACCUUAUGGUGUCCGCGGUAGGAGAGCGUUCUAAGGGCGUUGAAGCUAGACCGUAAGGACUGGUGGAGCGCUUAGAAGUGAGAAUGCCGGUAUGAGUAGCGAAAGAUGAGUGAGAAUCUCAUCCACCGUAUGCCUAAGGUUUCCUGAGGAAGGCUCGUCCGCUCAGGGUUAGUCGGGACCUAAGCCGAGGCCGAAAGGCGUAGGCGAUGGACAACAGGUUGAUAUUCCUGUACCACCUCUUUAUCGUUUGAGUGAUGGGGGGACGCAGGAGGAUAGGGUAAGCGCACUGCUGGAUAUGUGCGUGUAAGCAGUUAGGCUGGUGAAUAGGAAAAUCCGUUCACCUUAAGGCUGAGCUGUGAUGCCGAGGGAAUUAUAGUACCGAAGUUCCUGAUUCCACACUGCCAAGAAAAGCCUCUAGCGAGAUAAAAGGUGCCCGUACCGCAAACCGACACAGGUAGGCGAGGAGAGAAUCCUAAGGUGAGCGAGAGAACUCUCGUUAAGGAACUCGGCAAAAUGACCCCGUAACUUCGGGAGAAGGGGUGCUUUUUGGGGUGAAUAGCCCCGAAGAGCCGCAGUGAAUAGGCCCAGGCGACUGUUUAGCAAAAACACAGGUCUCUGCAAAGCCGCAAGGCGAAGUAUAGGGGCUGACGCCUGCCCGGUGCUGGAAGGUUAAGAGGAGGGGUUAGCGCAAGCGAAGCUCUGAAUCGAAGCCCCAGUAAACGGCGGCCGUAACUAUAACGGUCCUAAGGUAGCGAAAUUCCUUGUCGGGUAAGUUCCGACCCGCACGAAAGGCGUAACGAUCUGGGCACUGUCUCAACGAGAGACUCGGUGAAAUUAUAGUACCUGUGAAGAUGCAGGUUACCCGCGACAGGACGGAAAGACCCCAUGGAGCUUUACUGUAGCCUGAUAUUGAAUUUUGGUACAGCUUGUACAGGAUAGGUAGGAGCCUGAGAAGCCGGAGCGCCAGCUUCGGUGGAGGCGUCGGUGGGAUACUACCCUGGCUGUAUUGAAAUUCUAACCCGCACCCCUUAUCGGGGUGGGAGACAGUGUCAGGUGGGCAGUUUGACUGGGGCGGUCGCCUCCUAAAAUGUAACGGAGGCGCCCAAAGGUUCCCUCAGAAUGGUUGGAAAUCAUUCGCAGAGUGUAAAGGCACAAGGGAGCUUGACUGCGAGACCUACAAGUCGAGCAGGGACGAAAGUCGGGCUUAGUGAUCCGGUGGUUCCGCAUGGAAGGGCCAUCGCUCAACGGAUAAAAGCUACCCUGGGGAUAACAGGCUUAUCUCCCCCAAGAGUCCACAUCGACGGGGAGGUUUGGCACCUCGAUGUCGGCUCAUCGCAUCCUGGGGCUGUAGUCGGUCCCAAGGGUUGGGCUGUUCGCCCAUUAAAGCGGUACGCGAGCUGGGUUCAGAACGUCGUGAGACAGUUCGGUCCCUAUCCGUCGUGGGCGCAGGAAAUUUGAGAGGAGCUGUCCUUAGUACGAGAGGACCGGGAUGGACGCACCGCUGGUGUACCAGUUGUCUUGCCAAAGGCAUCGCUGGGUAGCUAUGUGCGGACGGGAUAAGUGCUGAAAGCAUCUAAGCAUGAAGCCCCCCUCGAGAUGAGAUUUCCCAUAGCGUCAAGCUAGUAAGAUCCCUGAAAGAUGAUCAGGUUGAUAGGUCAGAGGUGGAAGCGCGGUGACGUGUGGAGCUGACUGAUACUAAUCGAUCGAGGACUUAACCAA
rnacentral:rRNA from 1 species